GGGGCUGAUUUUAGGAUUCGACGAAAUUAAUAAAACUAAAGAUGCAUGUCGAGACGAGGUGGACUCGUAAAACCUCAAAUUGUAAAUGCAAAACAAAAAUACCAAGAGCCUGCUCUAUUAGCAGCUUAAUCAGUACAUAAUCUGAGGCUCCUUCUAUGAUUUUCUUUCUCUAGGUUUAUCAAUAGAAGUCAUUAUUAGAGAUCGCGUUAUACAUAAUCUUGUGAUGUUAGCGUUAAAAAAAUUCAAGAUAAGUUUUAAAUCAUAUGUCUUUCUAUUGAUUUAAGACGAAAUAAAAGAAAGACUAAACAUGUAGUAUCAAUAGAAUUAAAAUUUCGGACGCGGGUUCGAAUCCCGCCAGCUCCAA
rnacentral:tmRNA from 1 species